GAUGAACGCUGGCGGCGUGCCUAAUACAUGCAAGUCGAGCGAACAGACGAGGAGCUUGCUCCUCUGACGUUAGCGGCGGACGGGUGAGUAACACGUGGAUAACCUACCUAUAAGACUGGGAUAACUUCGGGAAACCGGAGCUAAUACCGGAUAAUAUAUUGAACCGCAUGGUUCAAUAGUGAAAGACGGUUUUGCUGUCACUUAUAGAUGGAUCCGCGCCGCAUUAGCUAGUUGGUAAGGUAACGGCUUACCAAGGCAACGAUGGGUAGCCGACCUGAGAGGGUGAUCGGCCACACUGGAACUGAGACACGGUCCAGACUCUUACGGGAGGCAGCAGUAGGGAAUCUUCCGCAAUGGGCGAAAGCCUGACGGAGCAACGCCGCGUGAGUGAUGAAGGUCUUCGGAUCGUAAAACUCUGUUAUUAGGGAAGAACAAAUGUGUAAGUAACUAUGCACGUCUUGACGGUACCUAAUCAGAAAGCCACGGCUAACUACGUG
rnacentral:rRNA from 1 species